rnacentral:rRNA from 1 species
UACGUAGGGCGCAAGCGUUAUCCGGAAUUAUUGGGCGUAAAGAGCUCGUAGGCGGUUUGGCAAGUCGGGUGUGAAAACUCCGGGCUCAACUCGGAGACGCCACUCGAUACUGCCAUGACUCGAGUCCGGUAGGGGAGUGCGGAAUUCCUGGUGUAGCGGUGAAAUGCGCAGAUAUCAGGAGGAACGCCGGUGGCGAAGGCGGCACUCUGGGCCGGUACUGACGCUGAGGAGCGAAAGCGUGGGGAGCGAACAGG